UGGGGAAUAUUGCACAAUGGGCGCAAGCCUGAUGCAGCCAUGCCGCGUGUAUGAAGAAGGCCUUCGGGUUGUAAAGUACUUUCAGCGGGGAGGAAGGGAGUAAAGUUAAUACCUUUGCUCAUUGACGUUACCCGCAUAAGAAGCACCGGCUAACUCCGUGCCAGCAGCCGCGGUAAUACGGAGGGUGCAAGCGUUAAUCGGAAUUACUGGGCGUACAGCGCACGCAGGCGGUUUGUUAAGUCAGAUGUGAAAUCCUCGGGCUCAACCUGGGAACUGCAUCUGAUACUGGCAAGCUUGAGUCUCGUAGAGGGGGGUAGAAUUCCAGGUGUAGCGGUGAAAUGCGUAGAGAUCUGGAGGAAUACCGGUGGCGAAGGCGGCCCCCUGGACGAAGACUGACGCUCAGGUGCGAAAGCGUGGGGAGCAAACAGG
rnacentral:rRNA from 1 species